UACGUAGGGACCGAGCGUUGUCCGGAAUCAUUGGGCGUAAAGAGCGUGUAGGCGGCUUGCUAAGUCCUGCGUGAAAUCUCGGGGCUCAACCCCGAGCGGUCGUGGGAAACUGGCAGGCUAGAGUGCGGGAGAGGAGAGUGGAAUUCCUGGUGUAGCGGUGAAAUGCGCAGAUAUCAGGAAGGAACACCCGUGGCGAAAGGCGGCUCCUCUGGAACGCA
rnacentral:rRNA from 1 species